rnacentral:miRNA from 1 species
AGGUUGGGAGAGCUGUAAUUG